CUCCGAGAAAUGAUGGGGGUGUAGAUUUUGUUUACGUAUAUUCGGAUAUCGUUGCCCCUUGCCGGUUUGCUGGUCAACAGGUUAAUAUCUUAGAUGCAUUUGCUUUGCAAGGUUCGAGUACUAAGGGAUACACGCCCACACUCUAUAAACAACUCUUAAGCAAGACUUUAAAUUCGGUGGGUGUGCACAUUACAGAUCAGAAUGGGUAUCCCAUAGUUUUCGAGGAGGGUCAUUCUGUUACACUUAUACUUCACAUAAGACCUAGGUAAAUUUUGUAUAUAUAAAGACGGUGCAUGUAUAUCUGUACUUAUUUUACAUCGGUACGUCGUCCCGGUGUGUUUGUUUGUUUAUGCAGAGCAAAGACUGACACCGCUUCGAUUUCCAUCAUGUAUGUGAGAGCACCUUUUGUUCCGCCGACGGUUGAGGAAUUUAUGGUCAUCUUUGAACAGCCAGAAUCGCAGAUUAAACCCUUUCGAGGAGGGUCAUUGGGGGAUAUUAGUGUGUAUAGACCCUAUGAUAAUUACAGAAGAGGUGCCGGGUUACUCUCUUUUCUCGGUAAUAUUGGCAAGAGAUUAAUUCCGUUUGUUUCUAAGCUCGUUAAGCCUGCCCUGCUUGAUUUUGGGUCUGGUGUUAUUGAUGAUAUGAGACAGGGGAAUGGCAGUUUAAGGUCUUCUCUGAAAAAAAGAGGGGUGGAGGCAGUUAAACAUAUCGGUGCGAGGGCAAUGAGAGGAGGAGGAGGAGGAGGAGGAGGAAGAGGAGUGCGUAGAAAACGGAAAAGAGUGAAACGAUUGACAAUUCGUCCCAGUUGUUCGAGCUAUAAAAAAGAUGUCUUUUCCUUGGCUUAGUCAGUUAUAGACUCGUCUUGACGAGGUGCGCAAUAGUAAUAUAGAGUUAAGAGUGUAAUAUCAUUAUUAACAAUCAUGAAUCAGUACAAGACACCGCUGUCAUCUUAUGUUGCCGGGGUAAGCGAUAUGUUUCCCCGGUCAAAUAGAUUGCACAUGAUUGAAUCAGGGAUAGAAGAACGGUCUGAGGUGGAUGUGCUGCCUUUUAACGCGGGGAUUAAUGGUUCUGUUACAGAUAAUUAUGCAGAAUUUAGGUGGCCUGCCGGGCAAAAUUGUUAUGUUGACUUAUCAAGAUUGGUUUUAGAGAUUAAGGGCAGUUUGAGAAAAGAGGAUGGUACUUUAUUAAGCGAAGGUGAUCAUGCUGUAUUGUGCAACUCUGCCAUGCACUCGCUAAUUAAAUCUGUGACGGUUUAUUUUAAUGGGCAGCAAGUAGAACAAAAUCCUCUGUAUAAUUUUUCGUCAUAUGUUCGCCUAGAAACGGGUAUGUCUCCUUCGCUGAAGAAAACAUUAGGAAGAAAUAUGCAUUAUUAUGAUCAUUCUAGCAUACCGAGGAGCUAUGCGGAAGAUUAUUUUACAGGCGCUAGUGAACAAGAGAAAUCUGAUAUGAAUGAGGUUAAGACUAGUGGAUUUCAUUUUAUGGCUCCGCUAAUGUUAGAUAUAGCAACAAUGGAUAUGUAUCUCUUAGACAAUGUCUCUAUGAGAAUACGACUUGAGUUUGCCUCGGACCGGUUUGUUAUUAACACCAGCCCGCAGGCGGUUGGAUCAAAGCCUGUGGUGAAGAUAGAGACUUGUAAAAUGCAUUUAACAACACUUAAACCGAGAGAUUCAGCACGAGAGGCUCUUAAUAAAUCUUUAAUUCGCAGUCCUCUUAGCUACAUAUUUAAUAAAACGCUAUACAAAACUUAUGUUAUGGCAAGCCAACAAACCCAACUUGCUAUUGACAUGCCGUGGGGGUCAACGAUUCCUGAAAAGUUAUCUCUUUUUAUGGUUGACAUGAAGGCUUAUGCGGGAGACUAUAACAUGAAUCCUCUACAUUUCGGUCAUAAUCAUUUGAGCAAACUUUUUGUUACCGUUAAUAACAACUCUGUGUACAAUAUAAGCACGAGUUUCCCGAGUCGUUGCUCAGAUUUAUAUUAUCACUCGCUUAAUGCACUGGGGUUGGAAAAGGAGCAUUCGCUUGAUAGACAUGGGUUUGUGAACGGUAAAAUGAUUGCUGUUAUGGAUUUGCAACCUGAAAAGCUGCAGGAUGCGAUAGCUAUUGAAAAUUCGGGAAGUCUUAGGAUUGCCGUUGAAUUGUCGCAGCCUUACGACUCGAAUAUUGUUUUAUUUUUGGUGGGUGAUACGCAAGGUGUAAUUUACGUUGAUAACGAUCGUAGGGUGGUUGCAGAUGUCAGAGCAUAAUGAACUGCAACGAGGUGUCGAGUAUUUGUUCGCAGUUUCUGAGGAGAGGAUAUGUGUUGCGGGGGUGUUUCUUGGCUGAUCAACUGCCUAUUAGAAUAGGUCGCACAAACCAUAAUGAAUUCUUUGUGGUUAACAUACUUACAUCUCGCCAUAGACCGUCAAUUAUGGGGCAUUAUGUAUUAGUAGUUAUUGGGAAAUCUUAUAUUGCUUACUUUGAUUCUUAUGGGAUCAAACCACGUGUUUAUUCUUCUUGGUUGCAAGGAUUUAUCAGCCAGUAUUAUGAUAAGAGGUUUCUUGAUAUUAGUAGACGUUUACAGAGUCUUGAUAGUUUAACAUGCGGGGCAUAUGUAAUCUUUAUCAUGUAUCAUAUUAAUUUGUAUGGGGUGGAUCGUAUUAAUAAUUUUCUACGUUGUUAUUUUUCGCACGAUGAUUUCAAAUAUAAUGAUAGGAAGGUUAUAAGAUUUUUGUAUAGACAUUUUAACAUGCCUCGAUGUGAGAGAUUAUUUUGUGAUAGAUCUCUAAGCAAAAGGAAAUGUAAGCAGCUGUACUGCAGUUAGUUCCUCGCCCUUCCGCCCCUCGUCCCUACCUCCUCCUCCCCUUCUUCCGCUGACCCUUUUUUUUUCGUGAUUGUGAUUGGUUGGAGAGUUUGCUGAGUACUUGGGUCAUGGCUUUAUAAGAACCGAUUCGUGUAUAAGCUGUGUCACACCCGUCUAACCGAACCAUAUCAAGAUGAGCUCGAUAUUUGCUGAGACUACCGAGGUAGAAGGUGUUUAUGUUGGUAUAAACGACAACGUUGCUGUCGUCUUUAUCACCGGUACUGCAACUGUGGAUGAUGGGAAAAUACGGGAUAUUUUUGAGAAGGGGGUUACCGAAUGCCGUAUAUAUAAAUGUGUGAGCGAGCCGCAAAAAUUGACGCUGUCGACAGCGAAGAGAAGGAUGGAAGAACCUGCCUCCUCUGCGGAAAAAAGAAGACGGGUGUCAGAACCCGUUGCCGUUGCCUCAGAUUCGGCGUGGGGGGAAGAACCGACAUCGUUGCAACCACAGGCUUUCCAGCCUGAUUUAAGUCCCACAUCUCCUGUGUACUACCCUGGAGGGAUGCAGAGGUCGCUGAUUCCAGCGUUGUAUGGCAAUAUAUAUACACAACCGUCGCACUUGCACGGUUUCGAUCUUGGCAGUGGGCCAUCCCACGGUGAGAGGAGUUUGUUGGCAUGCGGUAGUAAUCAGACAAUAGAGAGUUUUCCCUCGCAUGAACCGCCUCCGUUAUAUGAUGGCUUGAUUCCUCUCAUUGACUUAACAGAAGACGAUGAGGAUUCGACAGCAUGCAGUGAUAGUAAUGCAGGAACGGUUAGAAUUUGUUCUUGUCAUCUGCAUCAUAUGUAGGGCGGGAAAAAAUGUGUGUGUGUGUGUGUGUGU
rnacentral:misc_RNA from 1 species